GGUGGCUCAGUGGUAGAGUACUUGCCUUGCAUGCAUGAGACCCUGGUUCGAUUCCUCAGCACCA
rnacentral:tRNA from 1 species